AAAUCAUAAUUUAAUCAUAAACUAUUGCUUUUAUUGACCUUUACCUAAUUUUAUCAUCAAAUUGUAUUGUUGAGAAUGAAACAUCUGAUUUUAACAUUGUCUAUGGAAAAUAUAUUACUUGUUUACAAGUUCUUACUUUACAAAAAAAUUUCCAGAUCCAAAUUAACUUAUACAAUUGGGAACUACCUGUUGGCCAAAUUGCAGCUGUUGACAAAGAAACUGAUAGCAGAAUCUCAAAUAUUUGAGAGCCACUAUAUGGCUCAUAAUGACUUGAAGCUUGGCCACACUGUAAUAUAGUUUCAAACACUUCACUUAUUUUAAUUUGAUAUAAAUUGUUUUAGCACAAACAAUAUUUUUUAUAUUUUGUUGUUUUAUGUAUGAUAUAUUUAGAUAAUUUUAACAUAGAAAAAUAACUUAUACUAUUUAGUAAUGUUGUUAUUUUUGUUUAAUGAUUUCUAUUAAUUAAAUAUAUUAAAUUAUUGAGAAAAAAU
rnacentral:lncRNA from 1 species